rnacentral:sRNA from 1 species
GACCCUUUUCACAAGAUGGCGCCGAAAGCGAAGAAGGAAGCUCCUGCCCCUCCUAAAGCUGAAGCCAAAGCGAAGGCUUUAAAGGCCAAGAAGGCAGUGUUGAAAGGUGUCCACAGCCACAAAAAGAAGAAGAUCCGCACGUCACCCACCUUCCGGCGGCCGAAGACACUGCGACUCCGGAGACAGCCCAAAUAUCCUCGGAAGAGCGCUCCCAGGAGAAACAAGUCAGUACUGCCCCCUGUACCCAUGAAAAGAUUUGGGUAUUCUCCAUUGGUAAUUUGGAAAUUCACUCACUCUGCGUGAUGGUUUCUCAAACACAAAUUGUGUCCAGUGUGCUUCUCUAAUUGGAAGUAUGAGGAGAUUGUUUCUGCUGCAUUUACAAAACUGGCAGGAUCAGCCCAGAGGCCGGGCGCGGUGGCUCACGUCUGUAAUCCCAGCACUUUGGGAGGCCGGGGGGGGGCGGAUCACUUGAGGUCAGGGGUUUGAGACCAGCCUGAGUGACAUGGAGAAACCCCGCGUCUAUUAAAAAUAGAAAAUUCGCCGGGCAUGGUGGCGCAUGUCUGUAAUCCCAGCUACUCGCGGGAGGCUGAGGCAG